rnacentral:rRNA from 1 species
CGGUGUUCAACUGGCGUGUCCGCGGGACGUCCUGCCGGUGGGCUUAGCCCGCAAGGGCGGCCCAACUUCAAAUCCCAUCGCGGUGCUCUUCACUGAGUGUCGAGGUGGGCCGGCACGUUUACUUUGAACAAAUUAGAGUGCUUAAAGCAGGCUAAAACUUCGCCUGAAUACUGUGUGCAUGGAAUAAUGGAAUAGGACCUCGGUUCUAUUUUGGUGGUUUUUGGAACCCCGAGGUAAUGAUUAAUAGGAACGGAUGGGGGCAUUCGUAUUGCGACGUUAGAGGUGAAAUUCUUGGAUCGUCGCAAGACGGACAGAAGCGAAAGCAUUUGCCAAAAACGCUUUCAUUGAUCAAGAACGAAAGUUAGAGGUUCGAAGGCGAUCAGAUACCGCCCUAGUUCUAACCAUAAACGAUGCCAGCUAGCGAUCCGUCGACGUUCCUCCGAUGACUCGACGGGCAGCUUCCGGGAAACCAAAGCUUUUGGGUUCCGGGGGAAGUAUGGUUGCAAAGCUGAAACUUAAAGGAAUUGACGGAAGGGCACCACCAGGAGUGGAGCCUGCGGCUUAAUUUGACUCAACACGGGAAACCUCACCAGGCCCGGACACCGGAAGGAUUGACAGAUUGAGAGCUCUUUCUUGAUUCGGUGGGUGGUGGUGCAUGGCCGUUCUUAGUUGGUGGAGCGAUUUGUCUGGUUAAUUCCGAUAACGAACGAGACUCUAGCCUGCUAACUAGGCGUAUUUUCGACAUCUCAAAGGUCCGUCGUCCCGGCCCUCGGGUCGUGGGCGUGCGCGAUUUUUACUGUCGGCGUACUAUCAAUUCUUCUUAGAGGGACAGGUGGCUUCUAGCCGCACGAGAUUGAGCAAUAACAGGUCUGUGAUG